GCCGGGUGUGGUGGCUCACGCCUGUAAUCCCAGCCCUUUGGGAGGCUGAGGCGGGUGGAUCACCUGAGGUCAGGAGUUCAAGACCAGCCUGACCAACAUGGUGAAACCCUGUCUCUA
rnacentral:SRP_RNA from 2 species